UUUAAGUGCUGAACACUCAGAGCGCGAUAGCCUGCAAGCGACUUCUGUCAAAUAUUAAAAUACACACGUUCUAAUAAACACAGUUCUUUAGACAGCUGCACGACUAUACGACCGCAGGUAGACAGUUGUCGCUCUCGCUUCUUUCAAAAUUUUCUUAUAUCUGCCAACUACCCUGCAAGACGGAGGUAACAGAUUGCACAAACACAUUGAAACAUUUUCAGCUGUUCACUAACACUGUUACAUUUUCUGGAAAUUUCAAUUAUAUGGGAUAAUACGAAGGUAAGAUAGAGAAAAACUAUCGACAUUCUAAACAUAUUGUAAUGUUAACUAGCUAAAAUAGGAGAGACGAAUACCCAAUUUUUCAAGAAGAAGAAAACGAAAAGCGCAGUAUCAAGAAUGAAAAAAACAAAGAUUGCGCAAUGACGAGUUCAAAUUUUGUUCGUUGUAUUGCAGGCAUACAAAAUCAUGAAUAUCAUCAAAAGUUAACAUCAAUAUAAGUGAAUAUUAAUAAAAGAUAUUAAUAUAAGUGAAUAUUUUAUAGUGAACAUUUACCUACAUAUUCAUUUAAUUGAAUUUUCAUUGUAUUAUUUAAUUUUGUCUCUUUGCUGUGUUGUUUCAACCAUAUACAUUUAUGUACAUAAAUAAAAAGAUUGAAUAUUUUGUAACCAAGUAUCAAUACACUAAAUGUGUAUUUAUUGUCUUAUUUAAUUUUCUUUUUUUACUAUACAUAUGUUCAAUUACGUUUUUAUUUAAGGAACGAAUCCUAAAAUAUAUUCUAGCUCUGAAAAAUAAUUAUUUUAUUUUCGAGCUGCAAUUUACAAAAUUUCUUAAAUCUAUGUGCUUCUGGACGUAAUUUGUGCAUUUAUGCAAAUCAGUAUCAUUGACGUCGUCAAAUACUGCUUGCAAGGUAUAUAUACAUAUGUAUCUGUUGAAUAGAACCAUCAAAUAUUGUGGUACUGUCACCACCGUCUGGCGGCCAUGCAGAUAUAAUCCAAAAGCUGGAUGCCAUUGAGACCCGUCUCACUGCAAUUUAAAAGUCCCUAACAAACAAAAUGCCAGAAAAGGCCGAGAUGCAGACGUAAAGUAAAUUAUUGCGCGCAUGCCGCGUCAUAGCGGCAAAGACGAACCUUUCAAUUAGCCGCAUCACCGGUGACUUGGAGGAUGAGCAUUACGUGGAGCCCGCGUCGAAAUUGCCCUUGUCAUCGGAAGAGCACGUGUGCUUCGGGAAAGACAAACAUUCACAAAUAAAAAUGGAUAUUAGUUUUAAGUUGUACAUAUUAGUUUUAAGUUGUAUAUAUUAGUUCUUAGUUGUACAUAUUCGUUUUAAGUUGAAGUCUCUAAAUUUACUUUUACAAAUAUGCUUUUUUAACUAACUUAUAACUUUUGUACUGAAAUAAACUUAAUCUUAUGUUUAAGUAAAUAUGAUUUUAUUAUUAAAUAAAGCGAAAUAAUAAAAAAAAACUGAGUUUUAUUUAAAAUAAUUAAAUUUACUAGAAGUAAAAAAAAAGUUAAAAAAAAACACCCCCAAUGAAAAAAGAAGUAACAAAUGGGUAAUAGAUAAUCUUGUUACUGCUUGCUCCUGCUAACAUGACAGAUAUUCGAGUAACAAAUACUUUUUGUUAUCCAUAACACAUAGGUAAGCUAUGCGCUAACGAAAUAAUUUGUUUUUGUUUGUGUGUAUUCUAUUAGAACAAGGCAGCAUGCGAUAUUUGCCAUUGGUUAGAGCGAGAUAACCAUUGAACAUCAAAUAGCUAUGUGUUACUUUUUUCCCACUCUCUGAACAAAAGUAACAAAUAUUUUAGCGAAUGCAAAAGUGAACAAUAACAAGUCGCUUACACGUCUUGCAGGGGAAAUUCCAAACCGUUUUUGUUUUAUUUAAAAAAAAAAAACUUUUGUAGCGCUCUAAUUGAAAAACCCGCUUUUAAAGUGAAGCCACUGACUCCAAAUUUCGCUAGCAAAUUUUAAUAAUUUUGACUCGUUGUUUGAUCAUAUACCUUUCCAUGAUGAAAUGGCAAACCUUACUGAAGAGAAAUACCAACAGAGCGCGAAAAAAUAUGGCGUCGUUCGCCAUCUCUAUAAUUCUACUUUUGUAGUAUCUUAUUAAAAAAUUAUGCCACUAAUGAAAUAAUUUAAUUAUAAUUUGAAAGUUCUGAUUUUCCUCAAAGUGCUUCCUAUUAGCAUGUGUUCUGUCCGAACAAUUCAAUUAACUCUCCAACUAUUUCUGAAGAUGACGUAUUAUUUCAUUUAAAUACCAUAAGUUAAAAACCACUUUCAAUUGGGGUUAGGUUAUGAUACCCUCAUGCUUACUCAAAAAUAAUGCCAAAUAUAUCUACUUACCUCUGACGAGAAUAUUUAAUUUCUCUCCUAAACAUGGUAUCUAUACACUCAGUCCUUUUUUUACGCGAUCUCUUUUUACGCUAUUUCACUUUAACGCGGUUAUUUUUGCAGCGCAAAUUCCUUUUUUUACGCGAAAUUCUCACUUUAACGCGAUUGCUUGUUUUCGUUUUUUGCUUGUUUACAUAUUUUUACGCGUAAUAAUUUUUGAAUAUGUCGGCGCACCCUAAUAGUGUGUGGAUAUUGGAUAUUGACACCGAGAUAGACGAUCAUCCAAUUAAAGCAGAGACGAUUAAGCAAGGUUUUAAACUUGCAGCAGAAUAGGAAAAUUAUUUUGUAGCAAAUGAUACUGAUGCCGAACGUGCACGAAUUUUUCAAAAAGAAUUGAGUCUCUGUAUUUUAAGAUAUAAAGAACUACAUCGGAAUUUAUUGGGUCCAAAAAGAAGCAUUCAAACAAAAUUAACUGAAUUGCACCAUAAAUUCAGUUAAUUUUGUCAGUCGGAGAUGCUUAGUCAAUCAGAACAUCAAUCCAUAGUUCAUACUAUUCAUAUAUCAGCGCCGGCCAUCAAAAUAAGCGGCUAAGAAUAAUUUCCACUACGGAUAAUGACAGUGAUUGAACAGCAUUCAACGGUUUUUUUUUCAAUAAAUCUACCUAUUUUCUAUUUCCUUCUCUUUUAUAUAUGGUUUUUGUUUUGUAUUUUUUAUUUUGUUAUGAAUGAAUAAAUCAUAUGUAUGAAAUUUGAAACUGAU